rnacentral:hammerhead_ribozyme from 1 species
ACCCACCUGACGAGUCCCAAAUAGGACGGAACGCGUGUCAAACUGGAC